rnacentral:rRNA from 1 species
AGUGAACGCUGGCGGCAGGCCUAACACAUGCAAGUCGAGCGGCAGCACGGGAGCAGCCUGCGCGUACGGCUGCGGAGGGGCGGAGAGUUGCGCGAUACAUCCCUGUCUGUGUGUUCGGGGGGAAUAACGUAAACAAACUUACGCUAAUACUGCAUACGACCUACGGGUGAGAGCAGGCGGUCUUCUGACCUUGCGCGAUCGAAUGAACCGAUGUCGGAUUAGCUAGUUGGAGGGGUAAAGGCCCACCAAGGCGACGAUCCGUAGCUGGUCUGAGAGGAUGAUCAGCCACACUGGAACUGAGACACGGUCCAGACUCCUACGGGAGGCAGCAGUGGGGAAUAUUGGACAAUGGGCGCAAGCCUGAUCCAGCCAUGCCGCGUGGGUGAAGAAGGCCUUCGGGUUGUAAAGCACUUUUGUUGGGAAAGAAAGGCCGCAGGUUAAUACCCCGGUGUUCUGACGGUACCUGAAGAAUAAGCACCGGCUAACUUCGUG